rnacentral:rRNA from 1 species
UACGUAGGUGGCAAGCGUUGUCCGGAUUUAUUGGGCUUAAAGGGUGCGUAGGCGGUUUUGUAAGUCAGUGGUGAAAUAUGGCAGCUCAACUGUCAGGGUGCCAUUGAUACUGCGGAGCUUGAGUACAGAUGAGGUAGGCGGAAUUGACGGUGUAGCGGUGAAAUGCUUAGAUAUCGUCAAGAACACCGAUAGCGAAGGCAGCUUACUGGGCUGUAACUGACGCUGAGGCACGAAAGUGUGGGGAUCAAACAGG